rnacentral:rRNA from 1 species
AACGUAGGAGCCGAACGUUAUCCGGAGUUACUGGGCGUAAAGGGCGUGCAGGCGGCUUGAUAAGUUCGGCGUGAAAUUUCCCGGCUUAACCGGGGGAUGUCGUCGGAGACUGUCGAGCUAGAGGGUGAUAGAGGCGUGUGGAAUUCCGGGUGUAGUGGUGAAAUGCGUAGAGAUCCGGAGGAACACCAGUGGCGAAGGCGACACGCUGGGUCAUACCUGACGCUAAAACGCGACAGCAUGGGGAGCGAACGGG